AUGAUCUACUUUUUUUUAGACAAAUACCAUGAUCUACUAGUAAACAAGCAAACCUUGUGGCGGCUUCUGAGCUGGAACUGCCGGGGCCUCGGGCAGCCCCGGACAGUUCAAGAAUUGGUGUGUCUGGUGCACACCUACAAGCCAAAGCUCGUUUUUCUUUCAGAGACACGGCAAAAAAAUAAAUAUGUAAGCAGCCUAAGAUGGAGACUAGGCCUGAAACACUGCAUCACCCAUGCUGGCGUAGGAAAAGGAGCCGGCAUAGCUUUGUAUUAUGAUGAAAGCGUGGAAGUAAUAAAACUUGCCGUGGGU
rnacentral:rRNA from 1 species